rnacentral:rRNA from 1 species
UUCGCCUACGGGGCGCAGCAGUGAGGAAUAUUGGUCAAUGGCCGAGAGGCUGAACCAGCCAAGUCGCGUGAGGUAAGAAUGUCCUAAGGAUUGUAAACCUCUUUUGUCGGGGAGCAAAAAGGCUCUGCGGAGUCGUAUUGAGAGUACCCGAAGUAAAAGCAUCGGCUAACUCCGUGCCAGCAGCCGCGGUAAUACGGAGGAUGCGAGCGUUAUCCGGAUUUAUUGGGUUUAAAGGGUGCGCAGGCGGCGUGUCAAGCAAUCGGUAAAAUACCUGGGCUCAACC